UGAGGAUAAAAGAGAGGAGAGAGAGGGUGUGGUAUAAUGGAAGAGGUUCCUUUGUGAUAAGCUAUUCCUGGAAAUCUGCUUCCAAAGAAGUUAACACGGAGGUUUGAAGACUCUGAAACUGAAGUUCGACCGGGAUGAGGAGGCUAGGGUGGGAGUGAUGGGCUCUGGCUGUCAGUUCGUGAAGCCGGUCCCACUGGGAUUCUGGCAGCAAACUGAACAGGACUCUGUUCUUCCUAGUCUCAUUUUUCUGCAAGGCCAGCCCAGGACCAGUGUGGAUCAGUCUGAAAAUCCCAAGCCAAAUCCCUUGGAUUCUGGAGCUGAGAUGGCACCUGGGCAGGGACCUUUGGGACAGCUGGGUUCUUCAGCCAUCAGGACCCAGGGUUCUGCUCUCUGACUCUUCCCUCCCCACUAGAAGGAACAACCUGAGGUCCAUCCCCUCCCCCAACUUCCACCCUCCUCAGCCUCCAAGUAAAGGGAGAGCCAAAUCAACUAAGAUGAAAAUAAACUGACUUCUGUUUGUACUUCUUGAUAGAUAAGGAUGCCCUGCUUGUAGGAGCAUGAGAUGAGGGAAGAUGGCCGGGCAUUUUGGAGGUGAAUACCUUCAUCUUUGCUGCUACUUUUCUCCCUUGUUUCUAUACCUCCUCCUUUCCCAGUUUUUUCUCCUUCUCUAUGUGCACCUUUUCUUCUCCUUCCUUAC